UGGGGAAUUUUGGACAAUGGGCGAAAGCCUGAUCCAGCAAUGCCGCGUGUGUGAAGAAGGCCUUCGGGUUGUAAAGCACUUUUGUCCGGAAAGAAAUCCUUGGCUCUAAUACAGUCGGGGGAUGACGGUACCGGAAGAAUAAGCACCGGCUAACUACGUGCCAGCAGCCGCGGUAAUACGUAGGGUGCAAGCGUUAAUCGGAAUUACUGGGCGUAAAGCGUGCGCAGGCGGUUUGCUAAGACCGAUGUGAAAUCCCCGGGCUCAACCUGGGAACUGCAUUGGUGACUGGCAGGCUAGAGUAUGGCAGAGGGGGGUAGAAUUCCACGUGUAGCAGUGAAAUGCGUAGAGAUGUGGAGGAAUACCGAUGGCGAAGGCAGCCCCCUGGGCCAAUACUGACGCUCAUGCACGAAAGCGUGGGGAGCAAACAGGAUUAGAUACCCUGGUAGUCCACGCCCUAAACGAUGUCAACUAGUCGUUGGGGAUUCAUUUCCUUAGUAACGUAGCUAACGCGUGAAGUUGACCGCCUGGGGAGUACGGUCGCAAGAUUAAAACUCAAAUGAAUUGACGGGGUCAUAGCUGUUUCCU
rnacentral:rRNA from 1 species